AGAGUUUGAUCCUGGCUCAGGAUGAACGCUGGCGGCGUGCUUAACACAUGCAAGUCGAACGAAGCGCUUAAGAUUGAUUCUUCGGAUGACGUCUUUUGUGACUUAGUGGCGGACGGGUGAGUAACGCGUGGGUAACCUGCCUCACACAGGGGGAUAACAGUUAGAAAUGACUGCUAAUACCGCAUAACCCGAUAGGAUCGCAUGAUCCAGACGGAAAAGAUUUAUCGGUGUGAGAUGGACCCGCGUCUGAUUAGCUAGUUGGUGAGGUAACGGCCCACCAAGGCGACGAUCAGUAGCCGGCCUGAGAGGGUGAACGGCCACAUUGGGACUGAGACACGGCCCAAACUCCUACGGGAGGCAGCAGUGGGGAAUAUUGCACAAUGGGGGAAACCCUGAUGCAGCGACGCCGCGUGAGUGAAGAAGUAUUUCGGUAUGUAAAGCUCUAUCAGCAGGGAAGAAAAUGACGGUACCUGACUAAGAAGCCCCGGCUAACUACGUGCCAGCAGCCGCGGU
rnacentral:rRNA from 1 species